UCAGUAUGUUAGUAACAGCCUUCGAGUCAAGAUGCAUAUUAUAUACAUUAUUUAUUUGCUCAUAUUAUGUGUUCAUUGCCGAGUGGCCAAGGUGGAAACUUAUCCGAUCGGUCAGUCUAUCGUCAGUGGAGUGCAAAAUAACAGUGUAAGAUCGAAACGCAGUUUUAUUAAUGAUGCGAAGUGUCCCGUGGGAUAUCGACGGAUUUUCAUACCGCACACAAGAAAUGCAUUCUGUUUGCAAAUAUCACCACGUGUGCAAUAGAAAAAGUACACUUCUUUUCAACUGUUGACCUAGAAGAGUCAAGAAGAGAGUCUUAUGCCCUCUAUGAGGUGCAGAAUAGCGUUUUCUGAAGGAUUCACUGCACUCUCUAUUUUUAGAGCUCCUAUUGAUCAGCGCUGUUAUAUAACUUUCCGGUAGCAUAAACGCCUUAGAGAUUAUAGUUUUUAUACUACUUACUUUUAAACCCAAUAUUUAUUUACAUACAUAUCUAUUUAGGGGCAACAUUGCCCCUUUUGAUAUUAAUUGAUAAAUUUAUUAAAAUUUCAUAUAAACUUCGCUUCGUAUUUUACUUGCACUGAUUCUUAUCUAUAUUGUAUGUACUUAAAGUUUAAAUGUUGUUAUCAUAAUAGCUAUUUACUUAUAUACUUUGAGGAACUAUUGUUUACGUAUAUUAUUGAUGUAGUUCCAAAUAAGACCACGGGUGGCGCUGUAUUUUCAUAGUAUUUGAUUGUAUGUAUUUUUGUACUAUGUCUAGCGCAGCAGUGUCAGUGAAAAUAAAUAGCUGUCAAAGCUAUUGUCAAUACAUCUUAAAGCAGUUUUGUCGCCAAAACGGGCACAAAUCUAUGUAUAAAAGAUAUUUGUUACUAUCACCUAAGCCUCACUAAUUCUCAAAAUCCAUUAACAAAACACUUAACUAUGUGUUUGUGCGAUGACGAUGACGAAAAAAGUAUGUAUUUAAUUACGGAUAGUCUCAUAUAAGUCUAUGUUAACUAAAGAAUAUCUAUAAUAUGGAUCAUAUAAUAUUUCAAUUUCUACACAUUAUUGUUUGUUUAAAUUCAUUUCCAUUGCUAUGUAGGUUUAAACCAAAGAUAUUUUUUAAUAAACGUUUUGAAAGACUAGUUAAAAUGUAACAGAAAUUUGUAAUCCGAAUUCUAGAAACAAUAUGUGUAGCUUCAAUAAUACUUUGUAUAUUUUAUUUCAUGUAUUUGUGAGUCAUAUGGAAGUGUAAGUUAAUAUAUUUACCAGUUAAUCAUGUACCAUCUGACAUAGUAGCUGACAGUAGCUAAUAUAAUAGGUUUCAAUUGUCAUUUGAAAUACAAAUAUAAAAGUAA